ensembl:lncRNA
GAGGUGAAACUUUUUUAUUUUUCAUGUUACAUAUUAGGUGUAUCAACGCAGAGUAUACAUGUACAAAUGUAAUUUCUUCAAAAAUACAUCAAAACUGAACUUGGACUUGACUACUAAUCAGAAAAAGAAGACCACGUCUCCCAAAAUAAAUGGGUUUUUUUUUUCUUUAAUGUAGAUGUUUUAUUUCCUCCUGUUUUGUUUUAAACUAAUCUGGUUGAUUUCCACCAAGAGUACAACCUAUAACAAGCACUUGACGGGUAUGGACAUACCAUAGAAAACACACAAAUACAUUCAUCACCAUCGCCUAGAAAGGUUCAACACACUCCUCCCUAAUAAACUACAGUCAAAUAGUCACUGAGGAGGAUGAGAAUUGCAAUGCAAUAUUGUCUUACUGGACAGGAGCUAAUAUAACAAAGAGGUUGCUAUUUAAAUAAAAUCUGAGCAUUUUGCAUCAAUUAUAACUGCAUAAAUGUUGUACUAGUCUUUUUAUUUUUAACUAAACCUGUAACGCAGUCUUUCUUUAAAAGAUAGAACUGACAAAUGUGCAUGUUGUGUAAGUUUUAUCAAACAGAUUGCUGAAAUAAACCUCUGUAUAAAAUAUAAACUCUGAAACCCGCACAACAGUUUUCUAGAUUUAUGUAACCUGUUUGCACAAAGAUAAAAUCCAACUUUCAGCAGCUCCACUUCACCUCCAUAAACAUAUUUAAGUAGAUGGGACGUGAGCAGUCAGGCCUCAGCUGAUGCAUUCGUGCUUAAUGCCUUGUUUUAGAUUUAAACCAUAGACUGUUAGUCCCUGGAAGAAAACUAUGGUUUUAGUAUGGAGUGUCUUAUUUACCUGUACUGUUGUGAACAGUAUUGGAGUGGGAGCGCCUUUAGCUGAUCUUUAUGACAUUUAAGUCCCAUCAUAAACAGACAAAAGAAAAGAAAAUUCUUUCAAAUAAUUCCACUGUGAUGACUUUAAAUGUAUGCUUUGCUAAAAUGUGUUUAUAUACUGUUUUGUUGUUUGGAAUGUACAGUAACAUCACAGUCCUGUUCGAUU